GACGAACGCUGGCGGCGUGCUUAACACAUGCAAGUCGAACGGAAAGGCCCUGCUUUUGUGGGGUGCUCGAGUGGCGAACGGGUGAGUAACACGUGAGUAACCUGCCCUUUACUUUGGGAUAACUUCAGGAAACUGGGGCUAAUACCGGAUAGGAGCUCCUGCUGCAUGGUGGGGGUUGGAAAGUUUCGGCGGUUGGGGAUGGACUCGCGGCUUAUCAGCUUGUUGGUGGGGUAGUGGCUUACCAAGGCUUUGACGGGUAGCCGGCCUGAGAGGGUGACCGGCCACAUUGGGACUGAGAUACGGCCCAGACUCCUACGGGAGGGAGCAGUGGGGAAUAUUGCACAAUGGGCGGAAGCCUGAUGCAGCAACGCCGCGUGCGGGAUGACGGCCUUCGGGUUGUAAACCGCUUUCGCCUGUGACGAAGCGUGAGUGACGGUAAUGGGUAAAGAAGCACCGGCUAACUACGUG
rnacentral:rRNA from 1 species